rnacentral:rRNA from 1 species
UGAGGGAUGACGGCCUUCGGGUUGUAAACCUCUUUCAGUAGGGACGAAGCGCAAGUGACGGUACCUACAGAAGAAGCACCGGCCAACUACGUGCCAGCAGCCGCGGUAAUACGUAGGGUGCGAGCGUUGUCCGGAUUUACUGGGCGUAAAGAGCUCGUAGGCGGUUUGUCACGUCGUCUGUGAAAACCCGAGGCUUAACCUCGGGCCUGCAGGCGAUACGGGCAGACUUGAGUACUGUAGGGGAGACUGGAAUUCCUGGUGUAGCGGUGGAAUGCGCAGAUAUCAGGAGGAACACCGGUGGCGAAGGCGGGUCUCUGGGCAGUAACUGACGCUGAGGAGCGAAAGCGUGGGUAGCGAACAGGAUUAGAUACCCUGGUAGUCCACGCCGUAAACGGUGGGUACUAGGUGUGGGUUUCCUUCCACGGGAUCCGUGCCGUAGCUAACGCAUUAAGUACCCCGCCUGGGGAGUACGGCCGCAAGGCUAAAACUCAAAGGAAUUGACGGGGGCCCGCACAAGCGGCGGAGCAUGUGGAUUAAUUCGAUGCAACGCGAAGAACCUUACCUGGGUUUGACAUAUAGAGGAUCGCCGGA